rnacentral:rRNA from 1 species
UACGAAGGGGGGCUAGCGUUGCUCGGAAUCACUGGGCGUAAAGCGCACGUAGGCGGCUUUUUAAGUCAGGGGUGAAAUCCUGGAGCUCAACUCCAGAACUGCCUUUGAUACUGGAAAGCUCGAGUCCGGAAGAGGUGAGUGGAACUGCGAGUGUAGAGGUGAAAUUCGUAGAUAUUCGCAAGAACACCAGUGGCGAAGGCGGCUCACUGGUCCGGUACUGACGCUGAGGUGCGAAAGCGUGGGGAGCAAACAGGG